rnacentral:rRNA from 1 species
ACGAACGCUGGCGGCGUGCCUAACGCAUGCAAGUCGAGCGGGGAUGCUAAGUGGAGAGGGGGAACUCUUGAAGCUUAGCAUCUUAGCGGCGGACGGGUGAGUAACACGUGAGCAACCUACCCUCAGCACGGGGAUAACAGCUCGAAAGGGCUGCUAAUACCCGAUGGGACCACGUCAUUGCAUGGUGAUGUGGUGAAAGGGUGGACGUAAGGUCCAUGCCGGCUGGGGAUGGGCUCGCGGCCCAUCAGCUAGUUGGUGGGGUAACGGCCUACCAAGGCGACGACGGGUAGCCGGCCUGAGAGGGUGACCGGCCACAGUGGGGCUGAGACACGGCCCACACUCCUACGGGAGGCAGCAGCGGGGAAUCUUGCGCAAUGGGCGAAAGCCUGACGCAGCGACGCCGCGUGAGGGAAGGAGCCCUUCGGGGUGUAAACCUCUUUGGACGGGGAGAAGUAGGAGAUAGUACCCGUUUAAAAAGCCACGGCUAACUACGUGCCAGCAGCCGCGGUAAUACGUAGGUGGCGAGCGUUGUCCGGAAUUACUGGGCGUAAAGGGUGCGUAGGCGGCCUGGUAAGUUGAGCGUGAAAUUUUUGGGCUCAACCCAAAAGGAGCGUUCAAGACUGCCAGGCUUGAGUGCGGGAGAGGACGGCGGAAUUUCCCGGGUGUAGCGGUGAAAUGCGUAGAUAUCGGGAGGAACACCAGGUGGCGAAAGGCGGCCGUCUGGACCGUAACUGACGCUGAGGCACGAAAGCGUGGGGAGC